GGCCGGUUAGCUCAGCUGGUUAGAGCGUGGUGCUAAUAACGCCAAUGUCGCGGGUUCGAUCCCCGUACUGGCCA
rfam:Danio rerio chromosome 4, GRCz11 reference primary assembly.